CGGGGAGGUCAGAAAGGUAACAAAGAGAGGAGAAAAAAGAGGAAGGAUAUGAAGUGAAAAGAUGGCAGACAGAGUGGAUAUUAUUUCACGCAGUUAUUAUAAUGAAGUCCUUCCAACAGAGGUUGUGAUGAUGGAGGAUUUCUAAGUGGUAGCUAUGUUAAACCGCUUGAUGGAUUUGAUGCAAAUAUAAUCACACACAUGCUCUCAGUGAGGCAUUUUUCUCGCUGUGACAGAAUUUGGAUGGAGGCACGUCCAAACAUGCCCAGAGCCCACAGAAUUAUGGGUACUGAAAUAGGGAAAGAUUGGUGGAUGUGCCUUUAUUUCAUUUGGGACGUCAAAUGGUUCAUAUUUUAUCCGCACAGCCUCUGACUGAUGAGAUGAGGCAGAUUUAUGACCGCAGGUUUGAUGUCUUAUUGGAAGAGAAGUCAUCUUUAAAGGGUCGUAUGUUUUCACUCUAUACUGUUAAUAACAUGUGAAUUGAGCUGGAGUGAAAGAUGUAACCGAAUGACUGAUGAAAGCUUCUUCCGCUUCAAGAUUUUGCUUUUUCUUCCAACCACUGUGUUUCUAAACUUUGCAAGUGGAGGAUCAGACCUUUCAUCAGGAGCUUCUCGUCCUUGAAGGCCCCCGUUGUUUCGCUCUCAGGACGGGGGUGAGCAAGGGAGCAUUUCAACCUGGAAUCUGACCACCUGAAUAUUCCUGUUUCUAAUCCCCUUAGCUCUGAUCUUCACUCUGAAAGAAUCGCAUCUUUACGUCUAAAUAUUGACUUUAUUAGAGAUCCCACUUCUAUUUUUUCACUAGGGGCGGGAGAAAAAAAUCGAUAAAACAAAGUAUUGCGAUAUUUUGUCUGGUGAUAUAUCCUAUCGAGCAUUUACCAAGUAUCGUUUUUCAAAUUAAUUGUUAAUAUGAAGUCAAAUCUAUGAUAAUGGAAAAAUAAAAUCAACUGUUUGUCCAGUGAGAUUGGCAGAGGUGUUAUCGUAGAGCAGGAAAAAGUUAGAGCAACAAAUAUUCGUAAGGUUUGCAAGAUGUGCUACAUGAAAAUAUAAUAUAGGAAGACAUAUAUAUAUAUAUAUAUAUAUAUAUAUAUAUAUAUAUAUAUAUAUAUAUAUAUAUGCUAAAUUAGCUAAACAGUUGAAAAAAUUAAAUAAAUUGCAAUAUAUUGUAUCGCAAUACUCACUAUAUUGCAAAAUGUUAAAAAUCUCAAUAAUAUCGUAUCAUGGCUCAAGUAUCGUGAUGAUAUCAUAUCGUGGGGCUACUGUGAUUCCCACCCCUGUUUUUUACAGGGACGCUGAAGUCAUUUGAUUAACAUGUGAGAGUCAACACAACAUUUAGCCUAACAAAAGAAGCUGCAGCUUCUUAUACUAUCACUAAAUCUUUGUUUAUUUUAUGUUACAGAUAAUGUACAAUUAAAAACUGCCGCUUCACACCUCAACAUGUUUUUUCAGUGAUUGGUUUCGUUAAAGGAGAAAGAGGUGUGUGAGAAAAAAAAGGAUCCAGACAGGCUAGAUGCUUUAAAAAAAUUGGUGUAAUGUUUCUUUACCUUUAGCUGUUUUAUUAUAAAGUCAAAAUCUUUAGCCAAAAAAUACGUGUGAAAAACCUUGUUAGCUGAUUGGACGAUCAAAGGAUUUUUACCUAAAUCAGCUGAGAGAUGUUUGUUAGCUAGAGAGGCGAGUGAUGGUCAUUUUAGUUUCUUUGAGCUGCAGGUUAGUUACUUUACCUCUCAGUUAGAGCUGGACGUUUGCUAGUUAAUUUGAAUUUAAUCAAAUAACUAAUAACUUGAAAUAACUUCUAAAGUUGUUUGGAACUUGAGGCAAAUGGGUCUUAUUCAUGUUGUGUCCUGGCUGCGUUUUUAUUGCAGGAUGAUAGGGGAAGGUCCCGCCCUCCUUCGCCUCUGACUAGAAGUGCUGGGCUCCGAUUGGUUAUUCCUUAUGGCUGUGAAACGUUAUUGUCUGUCGGGUUAGGCGAUUCAGAAGGGCGAUAAUGUUCUGUAAUGUUCUGUUCGAUGUACAGAGCCGACGGCUCGCGUUUGACUUGAGCGUGUGAUGAUGUAGCUUUUCUAGCCAAUCAGAGGGGAAGGAGGGCGGGACUUUCCUCUACCGUCCUACAAAAAAAAAAAAAAUUGCAUCCUGGCCUCCCUUAGACGGGGCAUAACAUUGGGUGACCAUAUUGAAAGUUGUGUGCAAAAUUUCGAGGGUUUUUCUGGGUUGAGUGUUUUUUACGCGCAUGUUCUUAAUUCCCAAAAAUUAAAAAAAAUAAUAGACGACAUUUUAUCUCAUUGUUUUUUCCCCCACUUGCAGAAACAGGCUCCCAUACAAAACCCUGGACAUUUGAAGGAUUAAAAAAAAACUCCACAGGCCGGACAGCUCCCCAAAAGGGGAUGUCACCCUUGUAUUACAGGAAGAAAAUAAUCAUUUAGUUUAGGAAAUAUCAGCGAUCAAGAGCUCAGGGUUCAAGCUAAAAGAAGAUAGUUCGAAACAGUUUUAUCACCCCCUCAGGAUUAGGAUGAACUUCCUGUCCUAAAGGGCCUGAUCACACCAGUUUACUCUGACAGUGGUCCAUGUCAACACAGCGAACAUUUCUCUUCCUAACUUCUCCGUCUGAUUUAAAACGUCUGAGUAAGAAGUCGUCGACGUAAGAGAAGUGACGUACUGCGCCGCCUCUUGAAGGCAGAGCUGUAAUAAAAGGUCCGCACAGUUGUCGUCACUCCGGGUCUCUGGGAGCCGCAGCGUCAGUGUGUCAGGUUGUGCGGGCGCUGACCUUUCUGUUGUAACAGCCGGAGAAUAAAGGGAAGUGCCACACAAAGAGCUCUAUUAACUGAGAAAGCAGAUAUAAUGGGGAAACAAGAUGGGCCUUUAAUGGGGACAGGCAGGCCUGUCAGCAUGCAUAAUGUAACAGUCGUGUUAAAACAACACUGCUCCCCCCUCUGACACACACUCACACACACACGCGCACACGCACACACACAGAGCACAGACACAGCCUUAUAUAUUAGAGAAGCAAGUUAUUAAUUCACAUUCUGGUCUUCAUCUAUGAAAUAUUCUCCAUGCACGGCGCACAUUUCUCUUGCGCGGAUGAGAAUCAUUGUUGUGUGUAAUUAUGAAGACAAUGUUGGGAGGGAUUAUCAAAGAAGUACGGGAGGAAGAUAAGAAAGCAGCAGAUGAAGAGGGAGGGAGGACGAGAAGAAAGGGAAGGAGAGAGGACGGAGGAGGAGGAGGAGGAGGUGGUGAGAAUGAAGAGAGGAGGGGAAAGAUUACUCCUCUUCCUCUGUUUGUUGAGCUAUCCUUCCCUCCUCCUCCUCUCCUCCCUCCUUUCCUCUGUAUUAGCAUGAUAAAGACGUGGUGGAAUAGGGCAGCCGGCAGGUCUUUGGACAUGGAGACAAUGCUAUCGCCAGAACAGGCGUCUACAGCAGGGGAACAGCCGCACAGGGACCGUACACCAACACACACACACUCACAGACACACACACGGGGCUGCAUACAUGAAUAAACACACACGUAGUCACUGAUACAAGACACAAACAUGUAAACACACUCCGAGCUGUGGAUUAUAAUGUCCAUGAGGAGUUACACAAUGAGAGGUAACAUGAAAUCAAAGACAGCAGUCUCCUAACUGUAAACAUGCUGAACACAAACAGACGGAAUAUCCCUUUAAUGGAUCGUUUUAUUAUGCUGUGCCGUCUUGAUAAAAAAUUUACUGUCCUUUACUCAACUGGAUCAGGAUGUUUAAAUUUAUAUCAGGCUGAAAAUUUAUAUUCAGCAGCAGGAAAGUCUCUCAGCCUUAGUUUGGAUUUUUGAGAGACAAGUGGAAAGACUCGAAACCUGAGGUGUGACUUUAAUAAACUUCAACUGAGCAGCUUAUAUUUCAGUGAUAACUACAUAUGUUUUUAUCUACAUAUACAGUCUAAAACAACAGUAUUUAUACUUGUGCAAAAUUCAACAUCCCACGUUAAUUAAGUUGUUUCUUUUACUCCACCUAAGCCAGCAUUACUUGUGAUAACUUGUUAUGAAUAUUGAAUCGCCAUCAAAACUAAGGAUAUGUGCAUCUACUACACGAUAAAUCUAGUAUUUUAAUCAAGUAUUAAAGUAAACUUUUACCUAAGGCCGGUGUUAUUAUUUAUGACUUUGUGAGCUGGUGUUUAGCUGUGUUAGAGAAAAGAUCCUACAUUUUUGCUGAUUUCUUUGUCACCAGUUUCUUAGUUGGAACUGUUAUGAACUUAAACAUAUAAAUACACAUAGUGUUAAACCGUUGGAUGACUAAACUGAACUGCAGCAAAGUUAAACAACAUGCGAUAUACUGAUGGAAGCGUCAUUUCCAUAUGCUUCGCCAGGUUUUGCUGAAUUGCUUGUUUUGUGAUGUAAUAACAGCCGCCGAAUGCUAAUGUGGAUAAAUAUAAAACUCAGCGGGUGCUAGCGGCUAACCUCAGACUCUUUAUUUAAAGAUGGAGCUUCACAGCUGUGUAAAAAGUAACACCCACAGACACUAAAAGAUGCCAAAGAGAAAUGUUUCAGACAGAGGCAAAAUUGUGCUGAAAUUAAGUCAAAGUGGAAUAAAUAACAAGGUUAUUGAGCGAAAAAUCAUGAAAGGUGAAAAACGAAAAAAAAAAGUCACUGAUAAAACUGAGUCGGACAUUUACAGGACCUUUUAGAUGUUGAUUUUCAUUUAAAAAAUAUAUAGAUUGUAUUUUGUAUAUCAGUAUUAUGAAAUGGGGUGGGUACAUUUUUAAAAACCUUUAUUAACGUUAUUUCAUUUAGAUCAUUUAUGCUGAAAUUUAAAGUUUAUUAACAUUUGACUUUUUACCCUUUCCCAGUAAAAAUGUUUAUGUAAAUGUAUGUUGUCAUCGUAAUAUUAAUAGUUACAGUAAGUUACAGAUUCACCACUUUUGUCUGUUUUUUAUUCUACUGUUUUAAAUUUUACUUUUUAUUGUCAUCUAUUUAUUUACUUCUUCUAUUUAUCCCAUGUACACCACUUUGUUUGACUGUCGAAGGCUCUAACUGAAGUUAGAGCCUUACAGAGAUGACACGGUCAUUUAUUGUGAAAUAUUGAAACAAAUUCUGGUAAUAAUUUACAGUAAAAAUGUUACUCAGUUUCACUUACAUGCCCUCAUUAUCAACAGUGGAAAAGCAAAGAUCUUUUGUAAGGAAAGUAUAAUUUUUUAACGCAGUUGUGUGAGUUUUAUUUCUUCUAAAAAGGACAAGAUCUGCUUUUUAACAUUAAUACACUUUAAAAUGUGUGAAACCAUUCAUUAAUUCUGUUUUGACCAUAAAAAAGAGAUUUUUACUGUAGUGAUGCAGGUUUAAAAUGCACUUUUAAUAAAAUUCACCGUCUCACCUUCGAUGGUUUUCACACAGAAAAACGAAGAUUUUCACUUUCUUUAAUAAAACCUGUGUGUGCGUCUGUUUCUCCUCUUCUCUGAGAGAUUUUACCCUCAUGAACUGUCUCCUCCUCCUCUUCCUCAUCUGUCCAUGUCAUUGGAAACAUCAUUAACCAGUGCAUCAAUAAGCUGCUGGUCAGGCUAAUCAGUGAGAUCUACACAAACACACACACACACACAUACACAAACCUACACAAACACCAUGGAUGCUGCACCUCCACAGAUCUGGAACAGGAGCCACAGGCCCAGCGGGACCCUCGGCCACCCCGUCAGAGGAGCUGGGCCUCGCUUCAGCUCUCCUGUUUUACUGGAGGAAAAAGAAACAUUAUGGGUCACAGCGAACGCGCACACACACAUUUACACAAACACACACACACACACACACACACACACACACAGAUGCACACUGUAUGUAGCAUGUGUAAACAUACUGUACACACCAGCAUGGAUCACAGCCAGUUCAUGAGCCUGUGACGGUCGCCCAACCAGAACACACACACGGGCCACACGCCACACACACUCACACUCUCAGUGAAAACACACAGAACUGUACAAACAGGGCGAGCUCAUGAGCGGGAACGAACACACACCAGAAAAUUCCACCGGACGGUUUAAAAAAGCUUCAUUCAGCAACAAUCAUCAGUGAGUCUCAUCGUUAGUUAAAGUCGUCAAACAUCACGACAAUCUGCUUACAUUAAAUGACAAAAAGACGUCGAAAUACAAUAAUAUGUUGAUGGAUUAAAGUUAAAUAUGCAUAUUUAAACUGUUGAUGUAGGACAAACACAGUCAUGUAAGAGUUAAUGGAAAAUAUUAAGAAAAAAGAGCAUUUGCAUGACCUUUAAAAAUGAUUCAUCGUGACCCAAAAUGUGCUUUAAUGUUUAUAUACCAAUAUAAGACGAGUUUCCUCCUUUAAAUACACCAGAAAAACUCUUAAGUAAUACAUAUAUAUGUGUAUAUAUAACUCUACAGUUGAAUAUUGUUGUGUUCACAAUAUCAACCCUAAAAUAAAAUGGUACGAUGCAGCAAAUUACUGUAAAAUCCACUCGACCUGUGAGACCGGCAGUGAACUGUAAACUAACCCUAACCCUCGUCCUUAAAAAACAAAGGUUCUCUGUGAUGAUUUAUGAAUGAAUUUUAGGCUAGAGAGAGGCUGCUGUAUUGUUUUGAACUGUCAACCAAUCAGAGGUUGUUUAUGUGAUCAUCUGACCUGUAAAGGCCCAAUUAGAAGUCAGAUUGUUUUUGUGACCUGAUUAGAAGCUGCAUUUACGCAAGUGAUCAUUUUUUCAUUACAUUUAACACGCAGGCGAUCCCACGUGACACCAAUAUUGUUUACAGUUUCUCAGGAACUAUACUGUGUAUCUCUACGGGAUGAAAAGUGUUUAAAAGUUUACCCGUUUAGCGAUCUAUCGAGGGUUUCCUGGUAUUUCGACACCUGCCACAAAGUUUACAAUCCAGCCGCAAAAAUAGGUCUUUGAUCGGAGACGUUUGAUGGUAAAUCCGCAGUGAUAUACCGGUGAAAACACGAUUAUUUAUCAUAUUGUUGUGAUAAAAAAAGAUCGCUAUCGCUAAAUGCAGUUCAUGUCUUCCGGGUUUGACGAGCUGUUUUGAUGACAUCUUUUUCUGUCAAACUUUCGAUCAAUAUGACCAAUUCUCAUAUUCUUCUUCUAUUGUUCCCCUGACAGUAGUGUCCAAUAAGAGGCAACCAAAGAUCAACAAGAGACAAGAAAGUUCCCUGCUUGUGACCCUCUGUCUCAUCCCAGACAAGAACUGCUUCAAUAAGUGGUAAAAACAACUUUAAAUAACAAAAAACGCCUGGAAGAAUUAGUGUGAAUAUGUAAAUAGUUUUUGCUGUGUGUUUGUUAGAAUCCCAAUAUUUUUUCUCCUGAUAGCCAAGACUUGAGAGAACUGUAGACUUAUGUGUUUUUUGAGCAAAGUACUGUACUUUGAUGGUUCUGAAUCAGAUAGAUAGAUAGAUAGAUAGAUAGAUAGAUAGAUAGAUAGAUAGAUAGAUAGAUAGAUAGAUAGAUAGAUAGAUAGAUAGAUAGAUAGAUAGAUAGAUAGAUAGAUAGAUAGAUAGAUAGAUAGAUAGAUAGAUAGAUAGACUCAUGCAGCCAGGGGGGCGGGACGUAUGACACUUAAAUCUUGACUUAAAUAAUUUUCCCUCUUUUUUUUUUCCCCAUGAAGCAGCAGCAACACUUUUCACCCCCCCAUUGUCUCAUAUCGUCUGCAUCAGCGAGGUGCUAGGCAGUCCGCUGACAUCAUCAGACGGAGACAGUGCGGGAUGACUGACGCUAUCCUCCUCCUGUCAGUCAUCGUCACGGCCCUGCAGGACAGAUGGGAUUAUCUGCAGCUGUGACUGACUGAGGGACCUGUCCACAACCUGCUGCCACACAGGUGUAACAGCUGCUGCAUCAACCUUCACCUAGACCCCACCUGGAGUGAACGGAC